rnacentral:rRNA from 1 species
ACAGCAGUCGCCGCGGGAAUACGUAGGGUGCAAGCGUUAAUCGGAAUUACUGGGCGUAAAGCGUGCGCAGGCGGUUUUGUAAGACAGAGGUGAAAUCCCCGGGCUCAACCUGGGAACUGCCUUUGUGACUGCAAGGCUAGAGUACGGCAGAGGGGGAUGGAAUUCCGCGUGUAGCAGUGAAAUGCGUAGAUAUGCGGAGGAACACCGAUGGCGAAGGCAAUCCCCUGGGCCUGUACUGACGCUCAUGCACGAAAGCGUGGGGAGCAAACAGGAUUAGAUACCCGCGUAGUCCCUGUCUCUUAUAC